AUGCUCUCUUCAGCAACAUAUGUACUAACAUUGGAACGUUACAGAGAUUAGCAUGGCCCCUGCGCAAGGAUGACACGCAAAUUUGUUAGGUGUUCCAUAUUUUU